AUAUUUCAGUGUUAUAUCUUUUUGUUUUCUCAUAUUGUUCAUGGGGUUCUCAAGGCAAGAUUACUGAAGUGGUUUGCCAUUCCGUUCUCCAGUGGACCACGUUCUGUCAGACCUCUCCACCAUGUCCCGUCUGUCUUGGGCGGCCCCACACAGCAUGCCUUAGUUUCAUUGAGUUAGACAAGGCCGUGGUCCUGUGAUCAGAUUGGCUACUUGUUUGUGAUUGUGGUUUCAGUCUGUCUGCCCUCUGAUAACCUCUCUCAGUGCCUACCAU